rnacentral:lncRNA from 1 species
GAUUUGAUACAGGAAAAUGAUGCAUAAGAGUGGCUGACGUGGAGGUUUCUUAAGAGCUGAUUGGUGGGAAUAUGAGUAGUGACUUGGCAAAGGAUGAUUGGGUGAAUCUGAAGUUGGGAGAAGAAUGUUGACCAAGUCGUGAAGCUAUAAACAGAGCUGAAGAUCAUUUGUGGAGAAUUAACCAGAAAAUUGUAAACGUUUGUAUCUUCUUCUUUGAAUCUAUUGUUGUUGCUAGGUUUCUCUCAUCUUGAGAGCUAGCGUUUGAUCGUUUGGGUGUUUUAUGAACAUCGAAAUGAUUCUUUGGGUUACGGAUUGUUAAUCGGAGUUGUAUUGAAGUGAAUCGUGAAGUUUACUGUAUCAAAGGUAUCAGAGCCUUACGAUUCUCGGAAUCAAUGGAGGAAACAAGAGCUUUGACGAAGAUGGAAGAAACUGUCGUUCGUGAAGCGGCGGAGACGUUGGGUUUGCGAAUAAAAAAGCUUCAUCGGAGAAUUUCAUGGGAAGAGUUUAACGAGAGAUGGUUCAAGGGACUUUGUAUGUUCUGCGAUGAACCGGAGACUCCGGAUCACCAUCUACAUCACAAGAAUUCAGGAAUUCUGAUGAUAGAUUGUGAUGACGAUCAAAUGUCUCAUGACAAAGAAUUGGUUGAAACUGAGGUGGCCACAGAAUCGAGUGAAACUGAUCAAGGAACAGUGAAUCAUGGGGCAACUGCAGACAUGAAUUUGGCACUCUUGGAGGAAGAAUCGAUUCCACAAUUUCAGGUACCAAUUGCUAAUUCUGAGAUUUUUAGGAGUAGUGAACUUAGGGAAGCCAAUUCAAAGUUGGAAAUUCUAGAGUAUGUGGUGAUGAAUGAGAAUGAGAAUCUAGAGCAAGAUAGGGUUCAAAAGUACGUUAAUAUGAAAUUUGAGGUUGAUGGUGAUGCUGUUAGUAUUGCACGCCAAGUGUUUGAUUCAAUGCCAUUGGAAACAAACCUGUUGCGAAAUAUGAUAAGGGAAACAUUUUCAAAGACUUGGUGGUUUAAGUUCAAAGCAAUGACAAAACCAAGGCUGCCUAGAACAAAAUCAUCGAAUCUAAAGCUGAUUUUGAUGAAAGAAGAACCACAAUCUGUGAUAGUAGAUGAAGUGACGUUUGAGACACAGCGUUGCAAUUUGAUUCAAGCCAAGAGGCUGAUGCGAAAGACGAAUUCGCUCUGUAACGAUGAAUUAGUCUAUGUUCUUGAGGAUUUAUCAUCGGCUGAAGAAACAUGGUUCUUAAGUGAUAAAUCAAAAGACAUUCAAGCUGGAAAUUUUGUGGACGGUAAGUUGCACUUUGAUCACUACAAAGUGGUUAAAAAAAGGCUCCUUCAAAGCCACAUUAUCCAGCAACGGAGGAAGCUGCAUUUGCCUUCUAACUCAUGGAUGUUUGAGUAUAAAAGGGGCCAUAAGAAACUACUCAGACCUACCUUGUCCGGAACUGUGAGAAUGAUUGUUUUUCCAAAAAAGGAAGCAGAACAAAAGAUUCAUCCAUUGAUUGAAUAUGAGUUUCAUGAAGCUCCAAUGGGAAUGAAUAUUCAGGUCUCUGAAGUUGGUAUCAAAUCAGUUUGCCAGUUCCCUAGUUUCCACGUUUGGAGGUGGCAAACCAAUUUGGUUAUGCAACAAGUAAUGAGAAACAAAAAGUUCAGGUUUUCCAAGCGGUGGUGGUUCAAGUAUAAAUCCGUAGAAAAGGGUACUAAGCGACGGCACAUUCAGUUGAGGUACAAGUGCAUGUUGACAUUUGAAGAGUGGUUACGAAGUUGGGGCAGCAGAGAAAGUUGGAGGAAUCACAACUUGGAGGCUUCACACAUACAAUCUAGCUUUGCCUUUAUUGAUUUCCAGUCUGGUUUUGGUGUUGUUAUUAUCAUUCUUCAGGGAGUACAACAGCAGGGGUGUAGAAUUCUGAUGUUACACUUGAAGGAAAAAGGGAGAUUUAGGCCCUUACCAUCAUUUUCAAGACUGAUUUUGUUGGCGUUGCUCAAUCUUUGGUUUAGUAAGGCAUAUGAAAUAUCAGGACUGCUGAAAGAUUCAAGUGACGACGGGGCUGAGAAUUCUCCAGUUCUGAAUUUUGUUGCAGAACAACCUCUCUUAUGGCUGCAGAACUACUCUAAGAAAAUUCACAUAGUUUCAGAGCUUGAGAACAAGAAGAAGGAAAUAUGUUACACGAGUUGGAUGUUCAAGUACAAGGCACCGCUAAAGAGCAUUCAUGACAAGUUGGGAAAGCCUAAGGAUCGUGGUGCAUUGCUAAUACAACAGUUCAAAAUCAAGCACAAAUGGCGAUUUAAACUCUUGCUGUCGAUCUUAGCGCUGGAGAUAUACUUGGGCAGUCUUGUGCUCGUCACUAACUAUGCACAUCAGUUUCAUCGCUUAAGACUGAUCAUUCUUAUGGGUGUGGGGAUGUUUACAAAUCUGAGAAGCCAACUCCCUCUUUAGCCUUGAGAUGAAGUAUACAACAACUCUCCCUUGGAAAUCAGAUUGUUCCCUUCUCUAUCAAACCUUGAGGUCAAGGUUUCUUCAAACGGGGAAGAUUUGAUACAGGAAAAUGAUGCAUAAGAGUGGCUGACGUGGAGGUUUCUUAAGAGCUGAUUGGUGGGAAUAUGAGUAGUGACUUGGCAAAGGAUGAUUGGGUGAAUCUGAAGUUGGGAGAAGAAUGUUGACCAAGUCGUGAAGCUAUAAACAGAGCUGAAGAUCAUUUGUGGAGAAUUAACCAGAAAAUUGUAAACGUUUGUAUCUUCUUCUUUGAAUCUAUUGUUGUUGCUAGGUUUCUCUCAUCUUGAGAGCUAGCGUUUGAUCGUUUGGGUGUUUUAUGAACAUCGAAAUGAUUCUUUGGGUUACGGAUUGUUAAUCGGAGUUGUAUUGAAGUGAAUCGUGAAGUUUACUGUAUUAAG